UGGGGAAUAUUGCGCAAUGGGCGAAAGCCUGACGCAGCGACGCCGCGUGAGGGACGACGGCCUUCGGGUUGUAAACCUCUUUCAGCAGGGACGAAGCGAAAGUGACUGUACCUGCAAAAGAAGCACCGGCUAACUACGUGCCAGCAGCCGCGGUAAUACGUAGGGUGCAAGCGUUGUCCGGAUUUAUUGGGCGUAAAGAGCUCGUAGGCGGUCUGUCGCGUCGGAUGUGAAAACCUGUGGCUUAACCACGGGCCUGCAUUCGAUACGGGCAGACUAGAGUUUGGUAGGGGAGAUUGGAACUCCUGGUGUAGCGGUGAAAUGCGCAGAUAUCAGGAAGAACACCGGUGGCGAAGGCGGAUCUCUGGGCCAAUACUGACGCUGAGGAGCGAAAGCGUGGGGAGCAAACAGG
rnacentral:rRNA from 1 species